rnacentral:misc_RNA from 1 species
AGCACUGACAGAUACAAAACGAACGAACAGACAAAUAUCACAGUUCAAGAUAGUCAAGAAGACAAAAAUGCCUACUACAAUACAUCUAAAAAUGAAAUAAAUGCUUUCCAAGGCGAGAAAAGAGACAGCUGGUGGUUUUGGGGAGACCAGAAUCAAAAGAAACAGAAAAGAACAGAAGAUACAUGUUCCUGUGUUUCUUGUGCGUUAAAAAAGAUUGUAGGGUCAGAGUAUACUUGUGUGGCGUGUCUUUUCAUACUCUUUUCAAUCUCAGUGGCGAUCAUUUUCCUAACUUUGUGUAAGACAAUGACUGUGUCUGACACAGGAGUAGUAAGAGGUGAUGAUGAUGAAGGUCUGGUGAAGAAGAUUAAAAUGAUGAAGGAGAAAAGGCAGCUAACUGAAGGAUAUGGAUGGAGUGAUUAUACUGAACGGAACCAUUGGGACGAAUCUUCCAAUUUAGGAAGAUAUCCUGGAAUUCUUGAUUCCG